UUUAUUUUCUCGCACACACAUAGCAAUAUCCGUGUGCGGGACUUGUGAGCAAAUUCAUGUAGCUGUGAGUUGGUAGGUAGUAUAGCUUUUACUAUUUCAUUAUAUCUUGUCAGUGUCUGGAUUAUGGAAUAUAAGGAAUUGAAUUGAUGAUUGAGGAGAAUUCUCAAAGCUACACAAUUUGCAUAACAAAGCACUUGACUAAAGUGUGGGAUGGAAGCUUAAUUAUUGCUGCAAACAAUUGUGGAACAUGUAUUUUAGCGUUUAUUAUGCGGCACCGAGGAUGUGGAGUCCGAUUGAACACAUAGUCAAACAUCUUUCAUACAUUCUCACGUGCCAUGAGCUUUGGAUUGUUGCUCAACGUGUUUUGCUACAGAUGUGACUGAAUGUUACGGAAAGUGUCUUGAAUUUUAUUGUUGCUUCAAGUGUUUGGUACAGCUGUGACUGAACAUUACUCAAACUGACUUCACGUAAAAUACAGAAAAUGACCAACUUUGAGCUUCUCAUAAGUUACAUAAAGAUGUCUUCUUUCGCUUGAAUUAUGCGAACCUCACAGGACAUGAACACUGGCUAUGGAACUUUGUAUUCUCUGUCGAUGGUGCUUUUCUCAUCACAGAUAAAAUGGAAAAUAAAAAUCAAAGAGUUUAUAAAAGAAGACCUAGAAAAAAGGUUAGGCCAACGGAAGAGGAGUCUUCUCUGGCUAGAGAAACAGAUAUGUUUCCACAAGCUUAAGUAACAGAAUAAAUGACCUCAUCAGCUCGUGGUUCAGUUAGAGAAGAAGAAAGCGCAGAAGAUGAGGAAUCGAUAGAUCAGGAAGAAGACAAUGAAAGUGGAAAAGAAAAUGCAGAAUAUGAGAAAUCAACGGAUCAGGAAGAAGAAAAUGAAAGUGGAAAAGAAAAUGCAGAAGAUGAGGAAUCAACGGAUUAGCAAGAAGAAAAUGAAAGUGGAGAAGAAAGUAAAGAAGAAAAAAAUCAUGAUGUACUUUUCAAACAAAGAAAAAAAGUAUUACAUGAUGAGAGUAUUGCCCCUUCAAGAUCAAAUUUUGCUGAUGAUUCUAAUACUGAGGUACCCAAAUGCAUCAAGUCCAUUGAUCUUACAAAGUUCGCUUCAAGACACAUUAUUCCGUGCACAAUGAUUUUUCGGGAAAGAUUUUUGUAAAGUCACUUCUAGGAGGAAAUUUUUUUGUUGAAUUCAGAGGAGUUCUGGUAGAACAUGGUAUUUCAGAUAGGUUCAAAAAAAGUUGUUUUGGGCAUUUCCUUGAUAUUCCAAUGCAGCGAGUGAAUUUCGGGUCGCUGAUAUUUCAUGGUGUUUUACUUUGACGUGUCAUUUGUGAGAAAAAGAUGAAAUUGUGGUUUGAACAUGAAAAUAUGCCUGUUUAUUUUGGCUUGAGGGAAUAUUCCUUGAUGACCGGACUACGGUGCCACCCUUUUCCUUCUGGAGAAGCAUUGGCUAAUCUGCUAAAGAAUGGUGAACCACUGUGAAAAUUUGUUUCCAAGAAAGGAAAAAACGUUAAUGCUAACUUCCUCCUUGAAAAGAUCAAAUCACCUAAAACACCAAAAAACUAUAAGUUUUCACUUGCAUUGGUUUGGUUCUAUCACUGCAUCUUAUGUGCAAAAGAUGUAUCAAGUGGUGUUGAUGCCGACAUGAUCAAGCUAGCUUGCAAUCCCUCUAUCUUCAACGAAUAUCCAUGGGGUCUGAAAAGCUAUCUUUUGACUGUUGAGUAUCUUGCGAAGCCAAUAGAAUUUGAAUACAACCUCUACGGCUUCCCGUGGGCGUUCUUAGUAACUAAAUAAAUAUUUUUUUUAUAUUAUUUUACUUUUAAUAUUUAUAUUGAUUGUAAUUGAUUAUUACUCAAUUCAGGCUUGGGCCUUUGAAGCUAUUUCGAAACUUCAAUGAAAUGCUAAGAAUUCCC